rnacentral:lncRNA from 1 species
CUGGUCUGGAAACCCUCCAAUCAGGCAGGCAGCUGGAGCGAAGAGGACGGCUUUCUGGUAUGGCGCGGCCUUUGUCUCUUGCUGCCGCUGGAGCUCCAGAUCUCUUGUUCACUGCUCUGUGUUCUCUGCUCAUAGAGGCCCAGCCUCUGAGGCCCUUUGACCUGCAGGUAUUGGGAGAUCCACAGCCAAGAGCCAGGACCCCCUAGAAGUCUAGAAAUGACCUUAAACAGAUUCAGAGACCGUGGGGCCAACAAACUGAACUGGAGUAACAUGUGAAUUGAGUAGACAUGUAGACAAGAAAGUCUCCACUAUCCCCUUUCUACUCUUGCUGAAAUGCUCACUAAUGUGCAAGUAACACCUGCUGCUACUCCUGCCAUUCAGGACCUAAAUCUGUAGCUCCAUAUUUUGAAUCCAGAUCUUGAGAUUUGGGAAAUAAAAAACUUUUAUCUAAAAAGUGC